rnacentral:rRNA from 1 species
GACGAACGCUGGCGGCGUGCUUAACACAUGCAAGUCGAACGGAAAGGCCCUGCUUUUGUGGGGUGCUCGAGUGGCGAACGGGUGAGUAACACGUGAGUAACCUGCCCUUGACUUUGGGAUAACUUCAGGAAACUGGGGCUAAUACCGGAUAGGCGCUCCUGCUGCUUGGUUGGGGUUGGAAAGUUUCGGCUGUUGGGGAUGGACUCUCGGCUUAUCAGCUUGUUGGUGGGGUAGCGGCUUACCAAGGCUUUGAGGGGUAGACGGCCUGAGAGGGUGGCCGGCGACAUUGGGACUGAGAUACGGCCCAGUCACCUACGGGAGGCAGCAGUGGGGAAUAUUGCACACUGGGCGGAAGACUGAUGCAGCGACGCCGCGUGCGGGAUGACGGCCUUUGGGUUUUAAACCGCUUUCGCCUGUGAGGAAGCGUGAGUGACGGUAAUGGGUAAAGAAGCACCGGCUAACUACGUG